rnacentral:lncRNA from 1 species
UGAUUGAGUUAUUUUGCUAGUGACUGACUCAUUGAAAAAUAGUUUACUUUAAAAAUCUAGUAUUUAGUUUAAUAUGGAAACUUCUCUUGUUAACAAUGGCCUCAUCUUUCCUUAGAUGAAGAUGAGGAAAGUGAGGAAUCAAGUGAAGAAGAAUCUAGCUUGGAGAGUGAUGAGGAUGAGUCUGGAUCUGAAGAUGAGGUUUUUGAUGAUUCUAUUUGCCCAUCAAGUGAAAAUUGUGGCAGCUAAUCUGAAUGCAGCAGAGGAGGCCCUGGAGGCUUAUCAGCGAGAGAAGCAGCAGCGGCUGAAUGAACUGCUGGUUGUGAUUCCGCUCAAGCUCCACCAGGUGAUGCAUCUGGAGAGUCGCUCCACCCUGUCUGAGUCAUCACACCCAAACUUUUCAGAGAAAGAUUCAUGCUUCACUAAUGGGGAGAAUCGUGGUUCUUUGCUGAGAAUUCUACCUGUAGGAUGACACCUAAAUUGUCUUAUCCACUGUCAGAUUGUUAUAAAAGACUAACAUCAAAACAUACCUAUUUCCCUAUGGCUCAUUAGCACUUUGGAAAUCAGUCAUUUCAAGUGUAGAGGAAUGAAGAGCCUAUGAUUUAAGAAUGGAAUGGCUCAGAGGUGAAAUCUUGGCUCUUACACCAAUGUCACUUUUCACACCAUCUUUACCUGUGCAUGGACUAAUGAUGCUAAAAUGACCUUUGCUUAGUCUCUACUCAUUGAUGAGGGAGGUCAAGACAAAAGGGAAAUAUUUUCUCUUUUUUACUUAUUCAUUUCUACUUGAAUUGCAACUUACAUUAAAUUGCAGGAAUAUAUAUCAUUGAGAGAAAAGGCUCAUUGUAUUAUCUUUUAUCAGGUUAAGAGAAAAAGCUGUAUUUCAGGAAAACAACAACAUCAGCUUAAUGUAUGUUUUCUAUAACCUGACCCAAACUGGAUGAGCUAUGUGUAGCAGUUUGCCUAGUAUGCCAACCUUGAAAUGUCUGUCACGUUGUUAUACAGUGGAUAAUAGGCAUGAUCUGUGUGGGAGGAUUUGCUCUCCCCACAGAGAUGCGACAUGGCUUUCUCUCUGACAACAUCUCUCUGUGUUUGCCUGGCCACUGUCACUCGGUGAGG